rnacentral:rRNA from 1 species
CAGCCGCCACGGUAAUACGAAGGGUGCAAGCGUUACUCGGAAUUACUGGGCGUAAAGCGUGCGUAGGUGGUGGUUUAAGUCCGUUGUGAAAGCCCUGGGCUCAACCUGGAAAUUGCAGUGGAUACUGGGUCACUAGAGUGUGGUAGAGGAUAGUGGAAUUUCCGGUGUAGCAGUGAAAUGCGUAGAGAUCGGAAGGAACAUCUGUGGCGAAGGCAGCCCCCUGGGCCAAUACUGACGCUCAUGCACGAAAGCGUGGGGAGCAAACAGGAUUAGAUACCCCAGUAGUCCCUGUCUCUUAUAC